AUCCGGGUUGCGGACAGUGUCUGGUGGGUAGUUUGACUGGGGCGGUCUCCUCCUAAAGAGUAACGGAGGAGCACGAAGGUUGGCUAAUCCUGGUCGGACAUCAGGAGGUUAGUGCAAUGGCAUAAGCCAGCUUGACUGCGAGCGUGACGGCGCGAGCAGGUGCGAAAGCAGGUCAUAGUGAUCCGGUGGUUCUGAAUGGAAGGGCCAUCGCUCAACGGAUAAAAGGUACUCCGGGGAUAACAGGCUGAUACCGCCCAAGAGUUCAUAUCGACGGCGGUGUUUGGCACCUCGAUGUCGGCUCAUCACAUCCUGGGGCUGAAGUAGGUCCCAAGGGUAUGGCUGUUCGCCAUUUAAAGUGGUACGCGAGCUGGGUUUAGAACGUCGUGAGACAGUUCGGUCCCUAUCUGCCGUGGGCGCUGGAGAACUGAGGGGGGCUGCUCCUAGUACGAGAGGACCGGAGUGGACGCAUCACUGGUGUUCGGGUUGUCAUGCCAAUGGCACUGCCCGGUAGCUAAAUGCGGAAGAGAUAAGUGCUGAAAGCAUCUAAGCACGAAACUUGCCCCGAGAUGAGUUCUCCCUGAGACUUAGAGUCUCCUGAAGGAACGUUGAAGACGACGACGUUGAUAGGCCGGGUGUGUAAGCGCAGCGAUGCGUUGAGCUAACCGGUACUAAUGAACCGUGAGGCUUAACCUUACAACGCCGAAG
rnacentral:rRNA from 23 species